rnacentral:rRNA from 1 species
AGUGAACGCUGGCGGUGGGCCUAACACAUGCAAGUCGAACGGCAGCACAGGAGAGCUUGCUCUCUGGGUGGCGAGUGGCGGACGGGUGAGGAAUACAUCGGAAUCUACUCUGUCGUGGGGGAUAACGUAGGGAAACUUACGCUAAUACCGCAUACGACCUACGGGUGAAAGCAGGGGACCUUCGGGCCUUGCGCGAUUGAAUGAUCCGAUGUCGGAUUAGCUAGUUGGCGGGGUAAAGGCCCACCAAGGCGACGAUCCGUAGCUGGUCUGAGAGGAUGAUCAGCCACACUGGAACUGAGACACGGUCCAGACUCCUACGGGAGGCAGCAGUGGGGAAUAUUGGACAAUGGGCGCAAGCCUGAUCCAGCCAUGCCGCGUGGGUGAAGAAGGCCCUCGGGUUGUAAAGCCCUUUUGUUGGGAAAGAAAUCCAGCUGGCUAAUACCCGGCUGGGAUGACGGUACCCAAAGAAUAAGCACCGGCUAACUUCGUGCCAGCAGCCGCGGUAA